UCGGGAUGAGGGAACCGGUCAGGAUUUGGCAGGGCGAUGCAUUUCUCAGAACACUUCCUUCUCCCUGCUUUUUCUGUCUUCACUAAUAUUUAUUCUUGGGUUUCUAUUUUGUUUUAGAGAGUUUGCAAAACUGCUGUUUUGGGACCGAAGGGAAUAUUCUGCUGUGAAAGAACGUUUUAUGGACUUCAUACAACUGGGACCUUCAACACCGUCACCACCCUUGAAGCAACUGGGGGGCGGGGUGCAGCCGAGUGGGGCUGGUGCACAGCUGUGGCGGACUCCUGGCAUUCUCCACUCCUGGCCAGGCAGCUCUGGAAUCUGGAACAGGACAGGACAUGGUGGGAGCUGCAGGUGGUCCUGAUGUCAUUAAGAGUGAAGAAGAGGUUGAGAGUUUUUGGCUAUCUGCACUCAAUGGGGGAUGUGAAGGAUUCAUUGCAUGGGCUUAUGAAUCUCCAGAUGGCCUCAAAUGUACCAUGUGACUGGGGACAACCUCAUUCUCCUUGUCUCCAUUUCCCAAGUGCUGGGAUCUCAGAUAUGCCUGCCUGCAGAGAUUUCAUAAUGCCCUCAACUCUAUGGAGGAGACCCAGAUGA
rnacentral:lncRNA from 1 species